AGGUUAGCGCCGGGUUGGUUAGGCGCCUCAUUUGGGUUGAGGAUUUUCUAUGUUCGAAUCAUAGUAACCUGAC
rnacentral:tRNA from 1 species